rfam:Triticum aestivum genome assembly, contig: Triticum_aestivum_CS42_TGACv1_scaffold_471263_6AL
GUACUACUCCCUCCGUCCGAAAAUACCUAUCGUCAAAAUGGAUAAAAAAAUGUAUGUAGAACUAAAAUAUGUCUAGAUACAUCUUCUUUUAUCCAUUUUGAUGACAAGUAUUUUCGGACGGAAGGAGUACUAA